GAUGAACGCUGGCGGCGUGCUUAACACAUGCAAGUCGAACGAUGAAGCCCAGCUUGCUGGGUGGAUUAGUGGCGAACGGGUGAGUAACACGUGAGUAACCUGCCCUUAACUCUGGGAUAAGCCUGGGAAACUGGGUCUAAUACCGGAUAGGAGCGUCCACCGCAUGGUGGGUGUUGGAAAGAUUUAUCGGUUUUGGAUGGACUCGCGGCCUAUCAACUUGUUGGUGAGGUAAUGGCUCACCAAGGCGACGACGGGUAGCCGGCCUGAGAGGGUGACCGGCCACACUGGGACUGAGACACGGCCCAGACUCCUACGGGAGGCAGCAGUGGGGAAUAUUGCACAAUGGGCGAAAGCCUGAUGCAGCGACGCCGCGUGAGGGAUGACGGCCUUCGGGUUGUAAACCUCUUUCAGUAGGGAAGAAGCGAAAGUGACGGUACCUGCAGAAGAAGCACCGGCUAACUACGUG
rnacentral:rRNA from 1 species